rnacentral:rRNA from 1 species
AUUGAACGCUGGCGGCAGGCCUAACACAUGCAAGUCGAGCGGAUGAAGGGAGCUUGCUCCUGGAUUCAGCGGCGGACGGGUGAGUAAUGCCUAGGAAUCUGCCGGGUAGUGGGGGAUAACGUCCGGAAACGGGCGCUAAUACCGCAUACGUCCUGAGGGAGAAAGUGGGGGAUCUUCGGACCUCACGCUAUCAGAUGAGCCUAGGUCGGAUUAGCUAGUUGGUGGGGUAAAGGCCUACCAAGGCGACGAUCCGUAACUGGUCUGAGAGGAUGAUCAGUCACACUGGAACUGAGACACGGUCCAGACUCCUAAGGGAGGCAGCAGUGGGGAAUAUUGGACAAUGGGCGAAAGCCUGAUCCAGCCAUGCCGCGUGUGUGAAGAAGGUCUUCGGAUUGUAAAGCACUUUAAGUUGGGAGGAAGGGCAGUAAGUUAAUACCUUGCUGUUUUGACGUUACCAACAGAAGAAGCACCGGCUAACUUCGUG